rnacentral:rRNA from 1 species
UCAGGUGACUAUAGCAUCAGGGUUCCACCUCUUCCCAUUCCGAACAGAGAAGUUAAGCCUGAUCACGCCGAUGGUACUGCGUAACAGUGGGAGAGUAGGUAGUCGCCGUU